AACGAACGCUGGCGGCGUGCCUAACACAUGCAAGUCGAACGAGAAAGGUCGCAAGACUGAGUACAGUGGCGCACGGGUGAGUAAUACAUAGGAAUCUUCCCUUUAGUGAAGAAUACCCUGGAGAAAUCCAGGCUAAUACUGCAUAAGCCCAGAAAUGGGGAAAGGUGGCCUCAAGCUACCGCUGAAGGAUGAGCCUGUGUCCUAUUAGUUAGUUGGCAGGGUAAUGGCCUACCAAGACAAAGAUGGGUAUCCGGCCUGAGAGGGUGUACGGACACACUGGAACUGAAACACGGUCCAGACUCCUACGGGAGGCAGCAGUGGGGAAUAUUGCACAAUGGGCGCAAGCCUGAUGCAGCGACGCCGCGUGGAGGAUGACGGUCUUCGGAUUG
rnacentral:rRNA from 1 species